AUCCAGUUGACGAGUCUCAAACAAGACAAAACGCGCGUCCUGGAU
rnacentral:hammerhead_ribozyme from 1 species